rnacentral:rRNA from 1 species
UAGAGUUUGAUCAUGGCUCAGAGCGAACGCUGGCGGCAGGCCUAACACAUGCAAGUCGAACGGACCCUUCGGGGUUAGUGGCGGACGGGUGAGUAACACGUGGGAACGUGCCUUUAGGUUCGGAAUAGCUCCUGGAAACGGGUGGUAAUGCCGAAUGUGCCCUUCGGGGGAAAGAUUUAUCGCCUUUAGAGCGGCCCGCGUCUGAUUAGCUAGUUGGUGAGGUAACGGCUCACCAAGGCGACGAUCAGUAGCUGGUCUGAGAGGAUGACCAGCCACACUGGGACUGAGACACGGCCCAGACUCCUACGGGAGGCAGCA